AGUUACACUCUACAUGCUCCAGGGGACCAAGCAUGGACACAGCUGAGACUGAGCCCCACAAAGAAUAUGCAAGAGCUCCGUAAGCUAAACAAAAACUCCACAACACGUUGCAUAUUUCACUAGAAACAGUUUUGCUGUUGCUGGUUUUGCCGUUGCUGGUUUUGCCUUCAACUCUACUGCAAUUUAGUGAUCCAUAAAGAUAUUGAGGCCACACUUCAGGAGAGGACACUCACGUCCUUUAAAUGCACAACGCUGAGUGGCCCUAAUUAAGUCAGUGGGAGCACCAGUCUACACCAAUUGAGGUAGACCAUGAAAGGCCUCUCUGAAGAAUAAGGAAGAACAAUUAAAGAAAAAAAGAUAGGCUGAUGUCAAGUUUUCCAUCUCCUCAGAUGGCACAGUGAGAAGCAGGAACAGAGAGCAGACUGGACAACAGGCCAAUUAAAGUUGUUCUUCUGGCUUGGGUGGUGCUGGCACCAAGCCCAGAUCUCAUUCUCCUGACAUCUCCUUUCUGUCCUAUGGCAUCUUUCAUCCAAGGAAAAGCAUCUCCUGCACCACCACUGAGCCAGUUCAGGGUUCCAGCUGGCACAUAUGGUCUAAAGUUUGGCAUUUGCUUCAGCACUUCGCUCCACAUCGUCCUCCACCAUGACAAACAAGAAGAUUGUGGUGCAAAGGAACUGGCUCAAAAAGUGCGUGUCACAGCUGAUCCCAAAAUGAUCCCCAAUGCAUCAAUAGAGCCGGUAAGACUUUGGAGCCUUCCAUGGCCACCUUACACAGAACAGCUGUCCAUCCACAGGGGCGUGAGACCACAUCAGAUUAAAAGUUUGAGCUUAGCAAUAGAUCUUUGCUGUCCGCUUUUAGUUAAAUUGGCAUUAUCUUAUUAUUUCAAUCCAUAAGUUUCCUGAUAUUACCAGUAAACGCUUUCAUCCUUUGCAUGACAGUUA